rnacentral:rRNA from 1 species
AACAAACGCUGGCGGCGUGCCUAACACAUGCAAGUCGUACGAGAAAGUUGGCUUCGGCCGAUGAGUAAAGUGGCGCACGGGUGAGUAACGCGUGGAUAAUCUGCCCCUCAGUUGGGAAUAACUCAUCGAAAGGUGGGCUAAUACCGAAUAACGCUGUGAGUACUUUGGUCGAUCAGCCAAAGAGAGCCUCUGCUUGCAAGCCCUCGCUGAAGGAUGAGUCCGCGUACCAUUAGCUAGUUGGCAUGGUAAUGGCCUACCAAGGCGACGAUGGUUAGCUGGUCUGAGAGGAUGAUCAGCCACACUGGAACUGAGACACGGUCCAGACCUCCUACGGGGUGGCAG